GCGAACCUUGAUAGGAUAUAGGCUGGGGCAUAGGCCACAUAUGCACGGCUACGUGAAACCAGCAAGCUGUACGGGUUUGGUCUAAACAACUACCACCAGAUGGGAGUACAAGCACACAGGUCGAACGAUGGCCAAAUUGUUUCUGUGCCUCGACCACUAACCUCCUGUCAAGCACAUCAGAGCUGGGUGAGGCCGCUUUACAACGUGCAAGGAGCUGGGUGU